GAUGAAGAACUUAGCGAAAUGCGAUAAGUAAUGUGAAUUGCAGAAUUCAGUGAAUCAUCGAAUCUUUGAACGCAACUUGCGCCCUCUGGUAUUCCGGAGGGCAUGCCUGUUUGAGUGUCAUGUAGACUCAAUCCCUCGGGUUUCUGAGGAGGUUGGAUUUGGGUGCUUGCCUUCUGGCUCGCCUUAAAGGACUUAGCAGGAUAGCACUGUAGUCGACGUAAUAAGUCUCGUCGGUGAAAGUGUGAUGUCUGCUUACAGAUUGCCCUUGGGCACUUUUGACUCUGACCUCAAAUCAGGUAGGACUACCCGCUGAACUUAAGCAUAUCAAUAAGCGGAGGA
rnacentral:misc_RNA from 1 species